rnacentral:rRNA from 1 species
GAUGUCGGCUCAUCGCAUCCUGGGGCUGUAGUCGGUCCCAAGGGUUGGGCUGUUCGCCCAUUAAAGCGGUACGCGAGCUGGGUUCAGAACGUCGUGAGACAGUUCGGUCCCUAUCCGUCGUGGGCGCAGGAAAUUUGAGAGGAGCUGUCCUUAGUACGAGAGGACCGGGAUGGACGCACCGCUGGUGUACCAGUUGUCUUGCCAAAGGCAUAGCUGGGUAGCUAUGUGCGGAAGGGAUAAGUGCUGAAAGCAUCUAAGCAUGAAGCCCCCCUCAAGAUGAGAUUUCCCUGUUACUUUGUAACGUAAGAUCCCUGAAAGAUGAUCAGGUUGAUAGGUCAGAGGUGGAAGCGCGGUGACGUGUGGAGCUGACUGAUACUAAUCGAUCGAGGACUUAACCUAAUACAA